GACGAACGCUGGCGGCGUGCUUAACACAUGCAAGUCGAACGGAAAGGCCCUGCUUUUGUGGGUUGCUCGAGUGGCGAACGGGUGAGUAACACGUGAGUAACCUGCCCUUGACUUUGGGAUAACUUCAGGAAACUGGGGCUCAUACCGGAUAUGAGCUCCUGCUGCAUGGUGGGGGUUGGAAAGUUUCGGCGGUUGGGGCUGGACUCGCGGCUUAUCAGCUUGUUUGUGUGGUAGUGGCUUACCAAGGCUUUGACGGCUAGCCGGCCUGAGAGGGUGACCGGCCACAUUGGGACUGAGAUACGGCGCAGAAUCCUACGGGAGGCAGCAGUGGGGAAUAUUGCAGAAUGGGCGGAAGCCUGAUGCAGCAACGCCGAGUGCGGGAUGACGGCCUUCGGGUUGUAAACCGAUUUCGCAUGUGACGAAGCGUGAGUGACGGUAAUGGGUAAAGAAGCACCGGCUAACUACGUG
rnacentral:rRNA from 1 species